rnacentral:rRNA from 1 species
UACGAAGGGGGCUAGCGUUGCUCGGAAUCACUGGGCGUAAAGGGUGCGUAGGCGGGUCUUUAAGUCAGGGGUGAAAUCCUGGAGCUCAACUCCAGAACUGCCUUUGAUACUGAGGAUCUUGAGUUCGGGAGAGGUGAGUGGAACUGCGAGUGUAGAGGUGAAAUUCGUAGAUAUUCGCAAGAACACCGGUGGCGAAGGCGGCCAACUGGUCCGGAUCUGACGCUGAGGCGCGAAAGCGUGGGGAGCAAACAGG